AGAUUCUUCCAUGCUGAUGGCCAUGCAUGUAUCCAGCUGAAGAACAUUUUUAGACAUUAUGAAACAUAACUACUCCAACCCCAGUUAAGCAGACCCGAGCAGCCGAUCAAGGAUCAGCAGAAACUCUGCAGAACGGUGGUCCUCCAGCCCAGGACUGGACACCAGUGUUAUGCUAGAGAAAGAACAGCGAGGCUAAAGCAUUCAAAGUGGAAACAUCUGCCGUGGCUCAUUCAUCCAGAAUUGGGAUGGAGGAAGGAGCAGAAGAAGCAGAAGAUCAGAGAUCAGGCAGAGAUCUACUGGUGUCCCUGUGGGAACCCCAUUUACCAAACGUGUUAGUUAAACCAAAGAUUUUCCUCACUCAUCUUCAUGUUGUUCCAAGCCAGACUUUUGGUCAUCUUUGAAACAUAAAUGCAGAACUUUUUAAUGAAAUAUGAGAAUUAUUUUAAAUAUAAAAUAACGCAUUCACACAAGCACCAUGAUGCAUCAGUGUUGCAUUGGCCUGAGAGCUGGCGCUUUUGGUGCUUUUGUGAAAAUCCAUUGGGGAGUCAUAAUUUCAGAAUAGAUUAUUUUUGCUGUUGUUGUUGUUUUGCGUACAAAAGGCAUCUGUUAAAAACAUAUCUUAAUUUGUGUUCUGCAACAUGGUUUGGGGCAACAUGAGGGUAAGUAAUUAAUGACAGAAUUUACAUUUUUGGUUGUUCUAAUGUUAUAAUUGGUCAUAGUUUAUUGUCUUGAAAAAUUAUAUUAAUACAGAAAGAUGGAUUAAUUUGAUAAGUUUAUAGUAAAGACUUUUAAAUUGAUUAAAAAAAAAUCUAAAUAAAUACUACUCUUUUGCAAGGUCUAUUAAAGAAUACUGACAAAUGUAAUGGUUUCCACAAAAUAUUUGGCAGCACAACGGUUUUAAACAUUGAUAAUAAUCAGAAAUGUUUCUUGAGCAGCAAAUCAGUAUAUUAUAAUGAUUUCUGAAGAUCAUGUAACACUGAAGACUGGAGUAAUUGUGUUAAAAAUUUUGGUUUACAGGCAUAAAUUACAUUCUACAAUGCAUCCACAUAGAAAACAAUUAUUUUUGUAGUUAUAUUUCACAAUAUUACUGUUUUUACGUUCUGUUUAAUCAAAGGAAGCUUAAGAUGUGAUCAAGAUUUUACAUGAAAGAUGUAAUGUGUCAAUAAAUGUGUCAAUAUAC